AUGUCUAAUUUGGUGGUCCCGAUGAAAUGUGCUUUCUGUUUCAUGUUUCCCGGUGAGAUAAGACGGCUAUCAGGGCAGGAAGCCUUCUUGGAAGUCACCGUGGGCUUGGCAUCGCCGCGCAUCGAGGUAGCCAUGGAAACCUGCUCUCAAAGCCGGCGCCGGCUGAUAAGAACCUCAAGUGCCACCGCCUGUGUCCGGCCGGGAGAAGGUGAGCAGGAAAGCUGUAUAGAAACAGAUCACAAUUUGGUAAAUUCUACCUGCUGGAGAAGUUUUUCAGCAUUCCCUAGGAAGGCAUUAUAUCUACGAUCACCCAAGUUACCUGGAGAAAACCAUGACACACAAACAAUGGAGCAGAAUACAACACAGACACGGACACCAUCCUUGAAUGCUCAAACAACAGAUGGAGCUAUCAAGAUUCAAAAUUUAGUUUAUUUUCUUGUGAGCUGAAGAGCAGGGAUGGCCUAACAUCUCUAGACCUUGCCUUCAUAUUUUGGACUGUUUGUGCCAUUUUUGAUCGGCAGAUCUUCAAGUUGCCAUUGGUUUCAGAAUGCACAUGAACCAUUCAGCAUUUGGGAACUGCAUUGCUCAACUGCAACCAAGGAUCUGGAGCAUGAUGUCCUGAUGAAAUAAAUCAUAUGUUCCCCGACCA
rnacentral:lncRNA from 1 species